rnacentral:rRNA from 1 species
UACGGAGGAUCCAAGCGUUAUCCGGAAUUACUGGGCGUAAAGAGUUGCGUAGGUGGCAUAGUAAGCGAAUAGUGAAAGCGUGUGGCUCAACCAUACAUCCAUUAUUUGAACUGCUAGGCUAGAGGAUGAGAGAGGUUAUUGGAAUUCCCAGUGUAGGAGUGAAAUCCGUAGAUAUUGGGAGGAACACCGAUGGCGUAGGCAGAUAACUGGCUCAUUCCUGACACUAAGGCACGAAAGCGUGGGGAGCAAACGGG